rnacentral:lncRNA from 1 species
CUUCUGGAGCUCUUGGAAGUGUAAUUUUGAUUGGAAAAAACCUUACUUUGUCUUUUGGCGAAAUUGAAGCUAGUUUUGGUGAGUUGACCUUACUUCCCCCCAAGACUUCUCUUAUAAAUUUUGCAUCAGCUAGGCUACCUAUAUUACGCUCCACGACAUUGAAGCUAGUUUUGGUGAGUUGACCUUACUUCCCCCCAAGACUUCUCUUAUAAAUUUUGCAUCAGCUAGGCUACCUAUAUUACGCUCCGUAGUGCGGGACAACACGGGAUACUUUGUGUAUCGGGCUGCCCUUCAGUUUAAUUUGUGGCAGUUUUGUAGUGUAGUGAUUGGAGAAGUGCUCUUUGAUGAAUAUUGGGAGCUUGGUCUUCUUCAGGGGCUUCUUGAACUAAUCAUGCUUUGCUUUUUACUCUCCAUGCU